GCCAACACACCACCUGCACCCACUGUACCAACUACUAGCUCUUUGAGGAGGUUGGUGAAGGUGCUUUCUCUGUGGUCUGCAGGUGUUUGAAGAAAACCUCCACACAGGAGUAUGCAGCAAAACCCAUCAAUGUCAAGAAGUUGUCUGCCUGAGAUCAUCAGAAAGUAGAACAUGAUGCUGAGAUAUGACUUCUUAAACAUUCAAAUAUUGUGGGACUCCAUGACAGUAUUUCUUAAGAAGGGUUUCACCACCUUGUGUUUGACCAGGUUACUGGUGGGGAGCUGUUUGAAGACAUAGUACCUAGAGAGUACUACAGUGAAGCAUAUGCCACCCACAUCUGAUUCUGGAGAGUGUUAACCAUAUCCACUAGCAUGGUAUUGUCCACAGGGACCUGAAGCCUGAGAACUUGCUGCUGACAAGUAAAUGCAGGGGUGUGGCCCAUCAAGAUGGCUAUUUUUAGCCUCACCAUCAAAGUCCAG
rnacentral:lncRNA from 1 species